rnacentral:lncRNA from 1 species
CUUGGGUGUCAAGAUGACAAGGGGUGGAUGUGACAGCUAAGCAGAACUGUCAACUUGAUUGCCUUGAGCACUGCGUGGGGGCUUAGGAAAGCACCCUCCUGAAUAUCUCUGGAAAUCACUAAUCCACCAAUGACAGCUGCUACAAUUUGCAUGGUGCCCAAGUUUCAGAUUUUACUGGACCUGCCAACUGCUUAUUUAUGCUCAACACUGAGGUAUUUUGCUAAGAUCAUUGCUUCCAGCUGAUGUAAUUACACUGUGUUUAUAUUCAAGAAAGUCAUCUUACCUAAGAGAUAAUCAGAAACAUCUGCUGUAUUUGGAAAGAAUAUGUGUGUUUUGUAAAUAGAGUACAUAAAAAACAUAAUAUUUUAAUUGAAAUUUCAAUUUGUUUCUGGAGUCUUAUUAAAAACACUAA